GAGCUGACAAGGGCAGCACACAUGUUACACUGAAAGAUAAUACAUCUCAGAAAGGUCAUUCAAAGAAUCUCUAUUACUUACUGUUUACAAGCACCGAAUUUAGCAGAAACCAUUGGCAAGAUAAACUGACCUAAGGAACUGAGACUCACAUCAGCAGAUUUACUUUGUCUUGUUUAAAUAAAGUACUCAUUUUCCAGGAAGC
rnacentral:lncRNA from 1 species